GACGGGGGGGGGCAAGUGUUCUUCGGAAUGACUGGGCGUAAAGGGCACGUAGGCGGUGAAUCGGGUUGAAAGUGAAAGUCGCCAAAAAGUGGCGGAAUGCUCUCGAAACCAAUUCACUUGAGUGAGACAGAGGAGAGUGGAAUUUCGUGUGUAGGGGUGAAAUCCGUAAAUAUACGAAGGAACGCCAAAAGCGAAGGCAGCUCUCUGGGUCCCUACCGACGCUGGGGUGCGAAAGCGUGGGGGAGCAAACAGG
rnacentral:rRNA from 1 species